rnacentral:SRP_RNA from 1 species
CCGUGCUAGGCGGGGAGCUAGCGGUGCCCUGUACCCGCAAUCCGCUCCAGCGGGGCUGAAUUCCCUCCCAAGGUCCGGCGUCGCGGGUCCUGCGUGCGUCGCGUGGUGUUGACGGUCGGGUCCUGUGCAGCGUCGGUCCGUGAACCCCGUCAGAUCCGGAAGGAAGCAGCGGUAAGCGGUCGCCGUCGCGUGCCGCAGGCAAGCCUGAUCCGAGCUGCGCGCGUGCGUGUGUUCGUGAUGUCCGUGAUCGACGGAGGGUGCACGG